AGGCAUUUCCACAAACCUGAAAAGGAGGAUUGCUUGCUGCCAGGCAGCUCAGGGCAUCUAAUCUACAUGUUAUUGCCACCUGGUGGCCAAACACCUGGACAGCUGAAGGCAAUUCCCCAAUCUGACAAUGGAUUCUGUACCUAACCCUACCCUUUGAUGUAUGUCUAACUUGCCUUU